UACGGGGGGGGCAAGCGUUGUUCGGAAUUACUGGGCGUAAAGGGCUCGUAGGUGGCCAACUAAGUCAGACGUGAAAUCCCUCGGCUUAACCGGGGAACUGCGUCUGAUACUGGAUGGCUUGAGUUCGGGAGAGGGAUGCGGAAUUCCAGGUGUAGCGGUGAAAUGCGUAGAUAUCGGGAGGAACACCGGUGGCGAAGGCGGCGACCUGGGUCGAGACUGACGCUGAGGCGCGAAAGCGUGGGGAGCAAACAGG
rnacentral:rRNA from 1 species